UACGAAGGGGGCUAGCGUUGCUCGGAAUCACUGGGCGUAAAGGGUGCGUAGGCGGGGCUUUAAGGCAGGGGGGAAAUCCUGGAGCUCAACUCCAGAACUGCCUUUGAUACUGAGGAUCUUGAGUCCGGGAGAGGUGAGUGGAACUGCGAGUGUAGAGGUGAAAUUCGUAGAUAUUCGCAAGAACACCAGUGGCGAAGGCGGCUCACUGGCCCGAUACUGACGCUGAGGUGCGAAAGCGUGGGGAGCAAACAGG
rnacentral:rRNA from 1 species